rnacentral:rRNA from 1 species
UCGAGAAUUUUUCUCAAUGGGCGAAAGCCUGAAGGAGCGACGCCGCGUGGGGGAUGAAGGGCUUCGGCUCGUAAACCCCUGUCAUUUGCGAACAAACCUUACGAUCUAAUAAGUCGUGAGCUGAUUGUAGCGAAAGAGGAAGGGACGGCUAACUCUGUGCCAGCAGCCGCGGUAAUACAGAGGUCCCAAGCGUUGUUCGGAUUCACUGGGCGUAAAGGGUGCGUAGGUGGCAGGGUAAGUUUGAUGUGAAAUCUCCGAGCUUAACUCGGAAACUGCAUUGAAUACUAUCCUGCUCGAGGGUUGAGGGGGGACUGGAAUUCUCGGUGUAGCAGUGAAAUGCGUAGAUAUCGAGAGGAACACCAGUGGCGAAGGCGAGUCCCUGGACAACUCCUGACACUGAGGCACGAAAGCUAGGGGAGCAAACAGGAUUAGAUACCCUGGUAGUCCUAGCCGUAAACGGUGCAUAUUUGCUGUAAAAGG